GAGAUUUAAGCGGACGAUGAUAAACCCUAAGACACAGCCGCCAUGAGCCUCUGAAGCGUUGAUAUCAAUAGGAGAAAAAGAAAAGAAAAGAGAUAUCGAUGAUGGCGGAAGAGGAGGCGGUGGAUCUGAAAGGUAAGAGAACGUCAGAGUCCAAAGAAUCAUCAUCAGAGAAGAAGCAAAAACGUAGGAAGAAGGAUGAUUCUUUUGAAGAUUCAAAAGAGGAGGAUGAAAAUUCAAAAAAGGAAAAUGAAGAGAUUAAUUCACUUCUUAGAGGAGCACUCACUACAGUUUCUUCCCUAGAGAAGUUGCAAACUGCUCACAUAUUGCCCAACUUGAAAAUGGCAGGUCUAUUAACAACUUGGAAUUGCACGGAAGUGUUACAUUCAUGGGCAACGAAAAGGACAUCGAUGAAAGUACAUCGAUGAAAUGACUGUCUAUAAGCGACCAAUGGAAGAUUACGAAGAAUUCGAAGAUGUUAUUGAGAGCCUUCUCAGUAAAGGCCCGGUGGUUGUUUCAUAUGAUGUUCUUCCAAGCUACAAAUCUUAUGACGGAUACCUUUAAUUAGUACUUUAUAUUAUACUUCAAAACUAAUUUUACAGUUUGUAAUUGUUUUUUUCUUUUACAUCAUUGUCAGAGUGUCUUCAUUCCAACAGACAUGGAAUGUUUAGCUAGGUUUUAUGAGAAGUUUCCUGGGCAUAGUGUCUUGCUCACUGGGUGUGGCAUUCAGCUGCAAAAUGGAGAAUGGGUAGAGUUCUGGGAAACCUUGGAUUCUCGAGGGGAUGAUUGGGGAAAGAUGGGGUUUGGUCGGCUUGCUCGACGCAAGGGCCUGUUUACCCGGGUGACUGUGUUGAAGGUGAAUGGUCCACCACAACACGCGUCUCACUAAUGGUUCACCUUCACCACAACACGAGCUCUCUAUGCCUCUAUGUGUCUCUCUUAUCUUAAAACGAUGUAGUCUUUUCUGUUUAUAACCCUCUUAUCUCCGUAAUUAUCUAUCUAAAAACGAUGUAGUCUUUUUGUUGAUAACCUCCAUCUCCGUAAUGUCUAUCUUAUCUGUGAUGAAACAGUAAACCGAGCCAGAUAUUUUUGUUUCUA